AUACUUCAUCUAGCUAGUGCACUCUGUCUUGUAGUCCAUCCAUCUGCAAUAGUAGCCUCCUAGCUUUUGUAAUUUUUACUUUCAGGGUAAAAUUAAAAUGAGAAGAAAGCCAACAAUAUCUAACAGAGAGUUGCAUGUACAACGCUGGGAUUUAUCACAAUGGACUAUGUUGACAAUUAAUGCUGACAAUAUCAUCUUUCUUUCACAAGGCCACUCAAUUCUGGAUAUUGUCAGAGACAGAAGUCUGAACUACAAGAACACCAGAUUUGAACAAACAUGCUGAUACCUACAUUCAGCUAAGUGCCUUGCAUACAUGUGGGAGGGCAAAUACAUUCACAGUUGAUAUUUUACACUAGUAAAGUAUUUUAACCUUUUUUGCUUAUUUAUAGGAAUUAAAAUACACCAUCAUUAGAACCUGCAGAGGCAGAUGAAAUGCUUUCAUUGAAACAAGAAAAUCCCCACUAGUACUAUGGUGAGAAGUGAAACUUACUUGCCAUGCUACUCACCAGAGGAGCAAUCAUAUGGUUUCCUGGUAAGUUUCUCCACCUUGAUGUCUCUGUGAUUAACUCUAAGGAAAGAAUGAGAACUAUUAUGAAAUUCAGAAUUACUAAGCAAGAAUGACAACUGAUAUUCAUGGGGAACUGCUCCCUUCUUCAGACACUGUUCUUUUCUAACCCACACACACCUUGUACUUCACAGGAAGCUGUCUGUAUAAGUUGUUUGUAUAUAUAAACUGAGCUCCCCCUAACCUACAACAGCUGAGAAGCAGUUCUUAAUAGUUCUCUAAGUUACUGUUUACAAAACAACAGAAUGCCUUUCUUCACAUUUUAUGGUUAUUCCAAGGACAGAAACUACAGAUGGAUAAAAAAAAAAAAAAAAAAAGGCAUCUGCUGGAGGUUUCUUCAUACGUAAACCUUGACAACAAGCACAUUUGAAACACUUGCUGUGUUAUUGCUGGAAAGGAAAGAGUGGUUUAGUCCUCUAUAUUUAAAAACGUUUCAAAUCUGAACAGAAUAAAGAGUGUUUGCAACCAUGGCAACUUCUACAUUCAUUUUUAUAAAAACUGUAAUAUCUCUGAAAAUUUGUGACAUGGUGCAGCAAGCAUGUCACAUUGUGUAGGCUUAUGUUAUGUCUUGAAAGCCUGAAUGACUUGAUGUGACCUGGCACAAUGCCAUGGAUAUUUAAAAGAUUUCUAGGGAAAUUGCUGCUCUAGUGGAAGGUAGAGGUGAAAAAGUUUUUACAUAGCAUUAGAAAAAAACAUGAAAAAAUGAAAUACUUAAGGAAAACUUUAAAAUGUAGGUAUCUGUGGAGUACUUUCACAUCCAGGAUGGUAAAAAUUACAGAACAUUGUGGCUGCACAGGAGAAAGACCUUUAUCCAACUUCUGGCAUCUCCACUCACUGGGACUACACAGCUAUUGUAGUAGGUAGGAAAUACAUGUAUAUCAAUUAUUGUGUUUGAGCUUAUAUACUUAUUUAUUCAUUUAAAAUGUAUAAGCACUGUUAUUAUAAAAAUGCAUUGUAAAUUCAAAUUUAACUCCUAGAAAUUUAAUUUACAUUGAAAUUUUCAGUAUUUAGGCUGAAAAAAAAUUAUACCUGGA
ensembl:lncRNA